AAACCAGGAUUAGAUACCCUAUUAUAAAAAUUUAAAAUAAUUUUACUAAAAGAUUAAUAGUUAUUUUCUUUAAAUUUAAAAAAUUUGGCGGUAUUUUAGUCUUAUUAGAGGAAUCUGUUUUUUAAUUGAUAAUCCACGAUUAAUUUUACUUAUUUAAAAAAUUCAUAUAUCGCUGUCAUGAAUAUAUUUAAAAAUGUAAUUUCUUCAAUUAAUUUAAUAAUUUAUGUUAAGUCAAGAUGUGGUUUAUAGAUAAGCAAAUAAUGGAUUACAUUGAAUUUUAUUUUUGGAUUUAAAAUGAAAAAUAAAAAUGAAAUUGGAUUUAAUAGUAAUUUUAUUUAUUAAAUA
rnacentral:rRNA from 1 species